rnacentral:snRNA from 1 species
CAGUUAACAGCUCUUUUAGAAUAUAUUCACCAGGUUUCCCAGUUGCUACCAGAAAGCCCCA